UUCCCCGUUCGACGUUCUGAUUAGGUUGUUGAGUAACGGCUCGGCAAAAGCCGCUGAUUGCUUAGUACCCAAUCAAUUUACCACACGAUUUAAUUUUAGAACUGACAACGGGUUUUUUG
rnacentral:sRNA from 1 species